UUAGAGGAAUGCACGGUUUAUGUAAACAAUGGCCGAAUUGUAUUCUACGCUAUUUAGUAUUUUAUAGAAGAACAAAUUCGUGGAAAAUGCUGAAACUAGUUGUUUUUUCUUGCACUUGGAGUUUUUACGUUUUAUCUCUUCAUGCCGCUGAAACUCUCCACUACGGGACGUACUUCAUCUUACAGUUUCCUCCAAUCACCGACGGGCAAUAUAUUUUCUUCGCCCUGACCAUGUCACGGGAACCUUUCAACGUGACUUUUAGAACCGCCCACAACGUGGACGGGGACGCGGAGAAGCAGAUCACGCUGCAGAGUCCGGAAGUGAAAACCGUCACUUUUGACGGAAUCAGAAUGCCUCCGGAAGUACCAUCAGCGACAUACGCAUACGUAGCCAGGAGCUCUGGCGACUACAAGUUCUGUCUGCAGGUGCAUUACACACGGUUCAACCGGCGAAAUUUAUACAGCGUUAUGUUGGCGAUCCCCGUGGCUGGGUUCGGGACCAGAUAUUACGUGACCCU